ACUGCGUGGAUUUUGAUUAAUCAUCCUGCGAGUUAUGAUCAGUGGCAAGGCUAAUUAAUGAAGCCGAAGGGAAACCGAGUCUUAACAGGGCGGCUAAGUCGCUGGUCAUAGACGCGAAACCUAGUGAUCUAGGCCUGUCCAGGCUGAAGCUGAGGUAAGACUCAGUGGAGGGCCGAACUCACCGCCGUUGAAAAGUUGGGAGAUGAGAUAGGUCUAGGGGUGAAAAGCCAAUCGAACUAGGAAAUAGCCCGUUCUCUCCGAAAUGCAUUUAGGUGCAGCCUGAAUCUUAGAUAACUGGGGGUAGAGCACUGUAUGAUCUAGGGGGCGUACUGCUUACCGAAAUCAAGCAAACUGCGAAUACCAUUUAUUACUGAUUCGGAGUGAGUCCGUGGAUGACAAGGUCCUCGGACGAGAGGGGAACAGCCCAGACCGCCAGCUAAGGUCCCUAAUUAUGUCUAAGUGGGAAAGGAGGUGGACAUUCAUAGACAACCAGGAGGUUGGCUUAGAAGCAGCCAUGCCUUGAAAGAGUGCGUAAUAGCUCACUGGUCGAGAGUGCCUGCGCCGAAGAUGUAACGGGGCUAAGACAUAAACCGAAGCUGCGGAAGAUACUACGUAUCUUGGUAGGAGAGCGUUCUGUAGGCCGUCGAAGGGAUGCCGCAAGGCCAUCCUGGAGGUAUCAGAAGCGAGAAUGCAGGAAUGAGUAGCGAGAAGGCGGGCGAGAAUCCCGCCGGCCGGAAGUCCAAGGUUUCCAGGGGAAGGCUUGUCCGCCCUGGGGAAGUCGGGACCUAAGCAUAAGCAAAAUUGUGACGGCGAAUGGAAAACAGGUUAAUAUUCCUGUACCGCUGUUAUCGCUUGAGAGACGGAGUGACGCAGGAAGGUAUGCGAGAAGGCUGACGGUUUAGCCUUUCUAAGGGCCCAGCGUGGGCGUGCAGGUAAAUCCGCACGCCUAAACGUGAGACCUGACGGGGAAGUGCGUUUGCAUAAGUCGCAGAUCCUACACUGCCAGGAAAAACUUCUAUCGAUGAGAAGCAGCGCCCGUACUGUAAACCGACACAGGUGGACAGAGUGAGAAACUUAAGGCCGACAGGAUAACUCUAGCUAAGGAACUCUGCAAAAUAGCCCCGUAACUUCGGGAGAAGGGGUGCCUGACAUACCUGAGAGGAGAAGCGCCUCAAGGGGAAACAGGCCGCAGUGAAGAGUCUCAAGCAACUGUUUACCAAAAACACAGGUCUAUGCUAAGCUGAAAGGCGACGUAUAUGGGCUGACACCUGCCCAGUGCCGGAAGGUUAAGAGGAGGAGUGAGAGCUCCGAUUUGAAGCCCCGGUGAACGGCGGCCGUAACUAUAACGGUCCUAAGGUAGCGAAAUUCCUUGUCGGGUAAGUUCCGACCUGCACGAAUGGUGUAA
rnacentral:rRNA from 1 species